AAAAGAAAAAAAAAGACACAUAGAUUGGAGGUAAAGGAAUGGAAAAUGUAUUCCAUGCAAAUGGAAACCAAAAGAACUGGGAUAGCUAUACUUAGGUAAAAUAGAUUUUAAGUAAUGUAUACAAGGAGACAAAGGUCAUUGUAUAAUGAUAAAGGGAUCAAUUCAAGAGGAUAUAACAAUUAUAAAUAUAUAUGCACUCAGCAUCAGAGCACCUAAAUAUAUAAAGCAAAGAUAUAAAGAUCUGAAGAGAUAAACUGCAAUACAAUAAUGGUAGGGUACCUCAAUACCCAUUUUCAACAAUGUACAGAUCAUGCAGACAGAAAAUCAAUAUGGAAAUGUUGGAAUUGAGCCACAGUUUAGACAAAUGGAUCUAACAUAUAUACAGAACAUUUCAUCCAAUAGCAACAGAAUACACAUUAUUUUCAAGCUCACACAGAGCUUUCUGCAGAAUAGAUCAUACAUUAAGCUACAAAAGAAAACUUAACAAAUUUAAGCAGGUUAAAGUCAUAUCCAGUAUCUUUCAACCACAGUGGUAUGAAAUUAGGAAUUAAUAAUAGGAAAAAUGUCAGAAAAUUCACAAUAUGUAGAAUUAAACCAAAUUCUCCUGUACAACCAGUGGGUCAAAGACAAAAGUAAAAGGGACAUUAAAAAUUGUCUUGAGACAAAUGAAAAUGGAAACACCACAUGCCAAAACUUGCGGGUAGCAGCCAAAGCAGUCCCAAGAGGAAGAUAAUAGCAAUAAACACCUAUAUCGAAAAAGAAGAAAGACUGUGAACCAUCUAACUUUAUAUCUUAGGGAACUAGAAAGAGAAGAAUAAAUUAAGGCCAAAGUUAGUAGGAGGAAGGAAAUAAUAAAGAUCAGAGCAGAAAUAAACACAAACUAGAAAAACAACAGAAAAGAACAAAACUAACAGUUGGUUUUUAAGAUAAAAUCAACAAACCUUGAUCUAAACUAAGAAAUGAGAGAAGGCUAAAAUAAAAUUAGAAAAUAAAGCAGAGACAUUAUACAUGAUACUACAGAUAUACCAAGGAUCUUACGAGAUUGCCAUGAACUUGCUAACAAAUUGGAUAACCUAGAAGAAAUGGAUGAAUUCCUAAAACCAUAGAAUCUAUAUGAGCCGUAUACUUUCUUAACAUUUCUGCCAUCCUCCCUAUCCUCUUUGGUAUAGCCUCUCUUCAGACUGCCUCCUUAGCUCUCUUCUGGAUCACUAUAACAGCCUAACAAUUGUAUCACCUUCAGUUUUGCUCUUCCUUCCAUAUGACUAAAUAAAUGAAAAAUUUGAUCAGACAUUAACGAGUAGGGAGAGUGAAUUGGUAAUAAAAGGUCCACUUAUUUUGUCUUACAGUGAGAGUGGCUUGCUAUUAUCUCCCAUUAUUGAUGCAUUUCUAUCUUUGUCUUCCUGCAUCCCCUGCAGUUUUUGCUUCAUAAGAAUGUUUGCAGUGUUAUUUGGUACCAUACAUAUUCAUGUUAGGUCUUUAUUGUGAAUUACAGAUUUUAGAAUUAAAAAGGAGAUUUGGGCCGGGCACAGUGGCUCACGCCUGUAAUCCCAACACUUUGGGAGGCCGAGGUGGGCAGAUCACCUGAAGUCAGGAGUUUGAGACCAGCCUGCCCAGCAUGGUGAAACCCCGUCUCUACUAAAAAAAAAUACCAAAAAUUAGCCAAGUGUGGUGUCAGGCGCCAUAAUCCCAGCUACUCAGGAGGUUAAGGCAGGAGAAUCACUUGAACCUGAGAGACGGAGGUUGUGGUAAGCCAAGAUCGCCCCAUUGUACUUUAGCCUGGACAACAAGAACGACUCUGUCCCAAAAAAAAAAAAAAAAAAGAGAUUUGAGGGUCAUAUUUAUAUUUUUUUGGCUUGGAUUCUACGUUGCCUAGUAUCAGGAUCACCUCCCCUAUUUUCUUAUUGUUCUCAUUUCCCCUAUAUUUCAUUGUCCAUCCCAUUAUUUUUAGUCUUCUUACAUCACUUUGUUUCUUGUAUACAGUAUACUGUUGGUUCUAGCUUUGUAAGACAAAUUGAAAUAAGCUGAAUAGGUGAGUCAAGCCCACUCAUCAUUCAUAUGACUGAGUGUUUGGUUUGAAGCCUGUCAUAAAAUUGUAUUGUUAUAUUUGCUAUAUUUAUUUUCUGUGCAAUGUGUACUAUUUGUCAUUUUAUGAAAAUGUUUUACUGAUAGUUAAGAAUUUUUAUUCUAGUGGUUAUCUUUGUAUUUAUACUUUAUUCUCCAUUUUCUUAUUUAAGAUUUACUAUCUAGUUUGUCAGGUUUUAAUGCCUGUAAUUCACACUUAUUGCCUAUACAGCGAUCAAUGAUUUUAAUCUCACGUCUUUUUGCUCCCAUUUUUUAGUUGUUUUAUUUCUACCUGAUUGCAACAUAUAAUGUUUGUGUAUUGGUUUUGCACUCGAAUUCCUACUGUUGGUUUAGUCUGAAAGCUACUAUUAAAUAUAGUAAAUAUUGUAAUUUUAUUUUGCUGAAGUUUUUCAGUCAUCUCUUGUUGAAUGAAGCUCAUUCAUUAGUAGAUCUUCAUGAGUGGCUCAGGGGUACAUAAUUGUCUAAGUUAUGUGUUUGAAGCUGUUUUUCUAUUAUAGUGUUUUAUACUGAAGGACAGCUUGACUGAAUAUAAAAUCUUGGUUCACACUUUCAGUUUUUUGAAAAUUUAUUGUCUUGCUUUAUAUAUAUUUUUUGAGAAAUCUGAUACCAGUCUAAUUAUUUUGCCCUUGUAAAUUAUUUGAUCACGUAUCCCUGAAUCCUCGAGGAUUAAAAAAUUUUUUUCGGCCUGGCUCGGUGGCUCACGCCUGUAAUUCCAGCACUUUGGGAGGCUGAGGCGGGCAGAUCACGAGGUCAGGAGAUCAAGGCCAUCCUGGCUAACAUGGUGAAACCCCAUCUCUACUAAAAAUACAAAAAAUUAGCCUGGUGUGGUGGUGGGCGCCUGUAGUCCUGGCUACUCGGGAGGCUGAGGCAGGAGAAUGGCGUGAACCCGGGAGGCAGAGCUUGCAGUGAGCCGAGAGUGCGCCACUGCACUCCAGCCUGGGCAACAGAGCGAGACUCCGUCUCAAAAAAAAAAAAAGAAAAAAAGAAAAAUUUUUUUUUCAAGUUUAAAUAGUUUUACUGAGAUGUGUCUUGGAGUUAACAUUCAAAGUUUACUUUUCCAGUUAACUGGAAAUCCCUUUCAAAAUGUAGAUUCAGAUCCUUUUUAUUUCUGAUAAUUUUUCAUGGAUUAUAAUGUUAAAUAUUCUGUUCCAUUGUUUUUUAUUUCUUCUUCAGGGGUUCCAAUUAUAUGUGAGUUAUUUAUCUUUUGUUCAACUUUCUCUUUCUGACCAUUUUUCCUUCUUUUCUGUAUCGUAUUUAUUUGUUUAUUUUUGCAUCUAUCCAGUGUCUAAGUUUUCAUUAGUCUGUUUUCCUUUGGACACCUUGUAAUUUAGUCUUCAUUUAUAAUUCCCCCCCUUCCAUUUCUUUCUUGAAUUCAAUAAUCUUUAAAUUUACUCGUGGUUUUUUUAAUCUAUUUCUGUUUUUUAUAUUUUGAAUUUCCAAUUCACGGUGCUUUUUCAUAUCCCCAAAUGCUUAUCUGAGGAUUUUAUUCAGUUUGAUAUGUUGUGUUACAAUUUUCUUCUGAUUUAAUGGUUGCUUUUUGGUAGAGAAUUUUCAUCAGCCAAUGCAUGUUAAUUAUUGUUUGCUGAUUUCUCAUACUACCAUUAUAUAGAUUUAGUCCAUUUCCUUCCAUUCAUUUUUUUGAAUUUGAGGGGUUAUAAGAUUCCUAGUUCAGAAGGACUCUCUCUGUCAGCAUAGAAAAUACAAUUUCUUUAGGGGGUGUUUUUUUUAACUUUAUAGUAGAGGGAGGGAUUAUGUAUGUUCCAGUUUUUUGUUUUUUGUUUUUGUCUUGCAGGACCCUGAAUUUCUCCUGUUGCUUCUUUUCCCCUUCACCAUCCAGUUGCCAAAAGGCACCUUGCCUAUUCUUUUUGCUCUCUCCACUCCCUGAAGCUAUCCUGUAAUAAGUGUUGUGAUACUAAGAUACUUUAUAUUUUUGCACCUAGGAUAGAAUUUCUAUCUCUGCUGGUGAUUUUAGACCAAUUUUAGGCCUGCCACUAGAUCCGUUUUUCUUUAUUCUGUAUGUUCUUCUUUGGCCUGCCCUUGCUUGCUACAAAGGCUUAUGGUAGAAAUGUGAAAGAUCACUCACUUGGAUUUGGUGCUUUUAAUUUUUUUACUUAUAAGUAUUUGACAUUUGGCUAUAUUUUUCUUCUUGUUAGGCUGAGGGUGUAUUUUGUAUAGAUUUAUUUAUUCUUCUUGUUCUGUAUCGUUUAUGACGGACAUAGGUAGCUGCCAUUUUAUUUUAUUACCGCGAAGUCCUCACCUAUUCACUCUUAAAUCUACCUCAUUGAAGACUUCAAUAACUAUUUGUUGUUGGAAGCCAUAAUGAAACUGUUGAUCAAAUUACCCAAUCCAAAUCAAAUUAACCAAAAAGACUUUCUUCAGUCUUCAUAUUAAUUACCUUCCCUGCAGAACAGAACAUGGUUGCCCAUUAUGUGAAAUUCCUUUUACUUCUUUGGUGGUCCUGUCUGUUUUCUUAUGCCUAAUUGUUGCUUACGGUAUACUUGCUGUUUGUUUGUUUGUUUGUUUGUUUCUUUUAUACACUCAUUAAGUGAGUUCUCCAUCUAAAUAUCCCAUAAGGCACUUCAGAAUCAACAUAUCCAAAAGGAAACAUAUUUUACUCAUCUCCAAAUCUUUUGUUUCUCCAGCAAUUCAAGUUUUGGUGAAUGAAGCUAUGAACAAUCCAGUAAUCCAAACCAGAAACUUGAGAGUCAUCUUUUUUACACCUCCCACUUUGCAUCUCUCACAUUGAAUAAGCAAUCAUGCCCUGAGCCAUAUACUUUCUUAGCAUCUCUGCCAUCCUCCCUAUCCUCUUUGGUAUGGCCUCUCUUCAGACUGCCUCCUUAGCUCUCUUCUGGAUCACUAUAACAGCCUAACAAUUGUAUCACCUUCAGUUUUGCUCUUUCUUCCAUAUGACUAUCAGAAUUAUUUCUCUGGAAGAUCAUGUCAAUCACUCCUUCUCAGUGGUUCUUCAUUGCCUAUAGGAAGAAAUCCAAACUCCGUAGCAUGAGAGAAAUGUUUUUCAUAAUGACUUUAUCCUGCCUUUCUAUUGUUUCUUUCAUAUCAUGCCCAGCUCAGCCCCCCAUUCAAUGAAAAUCAUACUAAACUACUUUAAUUCCACUAACAUGUUGUGCUAGUUAAGCCUCUUUACCUUUGUUCAUGCUGUUUUUACUCAGACCACUCCAUUCCACAACAUACACUUGGGGGAUACCUACUAAUUUUGAAGACCCCCUUCAGCCCUGAUGUUAACCUUCUUUGUGGAAUCAUUAUUGACAUGAUGGAUAGAAUUGGUCAGAUGCUUCCUUGUUCAUCAGUUGUACUAGGCACAGCAUUCUAAUGUAGCACCUAUUACACAUUUUAAAAUUUGUUUACAUGUCUCCCCUCAUGUAAGUUUGUAGGACUGGUACCUGAAAUAUACUAGGCUUACCUUACUGACAUUUUGAAAUAUAAGAUAGCUUUCCAAGGCUUGCUUUUGCCUCCUGAUUCAGGACUCUACCAUUGGCAUCAUCAGGAAGAAUUUCUAAUAGUAUUAUUGAUCAGAGUCUUCUGGAAGUUUCUGCAGGUUACACAUCAACUUACUUUUCCCUGACAAAAUAAUUCUGCAUCUAGAAACACAAACAAGUAGUCAAAGAAGUUAUAUUGGAACUAAGAGAUGAAUUACCAAAGGAAAACUGAAAUCAAGAAACAUUUGAUGAAAUUCAGGCAAUGUCUUCAGGUGCCAGAGGACACAGAAAUGUCCCGAGAACCAUUCACAUGAUCUUAAAGAAACUUCUGCUGGUUGUCUUGUACCUUUGAAGCAGGUGUGAUUGAGAUGGAUACCUUAAUUUUUUUAAAGUAAAAAUUGUUCAUUCUCUUAUGUACUUUAGCAUACUGGUAUUCUUAUCAAAAUAUGAAACAGCAUCAAGUUUAAUAUUAAUUAUAAAACACAUGGUAUAUUUAUAUUUCUGCUCUUUAUUUUCUAAAGUUAACUCAGUUAACUCUCCAUAUAGGUAUUUGGACAUGGGCUGUAACCACUUUUUAGAACAAAUACUGUGAAGAUUGUUUUAUUACAUGACAUUUUAUGAUGUGAGAUUAACACCUUUGUGUUAGUAAACAUCCUAGAUUGUUCACUUCAAUAUAGAUUUUUAAAAUGUAUAGUUAUACUUGUGCAGGAUACUAGAAAAUGAAAAUGACUGUUCACACAUGCUUUAUUAUUCAGUAAUUUUACAAGAAAAUAUUACUGUUUGAAAGAAAAUCAUGCAUGCCUAAAACUGAUUCUGUUCCAGUUUUAUAAGUUAGUAUACUAAUUUUAAGACAUUGUGUAUAUUUCCUUCACUUAAUUUCUAUUUUCUACUGCAUUUCUACCAAUAUAAAAAACAAAGAAUUCAGUUGGUUCCUUUCUAGAGGGAAAAUUUGUUGUGAGUAUAGUACUGGGCAUCACAUGCUGCUUCCCUUUGUGGCUUUGAAUAAACCCUUAUUUUCUUGUCCAUUUUGUCUCAAAGAAUUUUAAAUGGCAUUGUCUAAACUCAGGAGUAUUGUGUGGAUUGAUUAGUAUGAGAAGUUUCUUUCAUGGUAAGUAUAGAGUUUAAGUAUAUAAAAUCAACUCUUGGUCAUAUAUGUAAAACACAAUUGAGAAGUAAAACUUGCCAUCAACUCUUGGUUAUAUACAAAAAAAUUGAGAAGUAAAACUUGCCAUACAUAUUAGUACAAGUAAUUAAAAACGGAUUAUAGCUUGAAAGGCAUUAGAUCUCACAUUAUUUACAUUCUCACUCCUUUUAGCUCCUUUGCUUUUUUGUUCUCUUGUUUGCAAAGAUUAAAAAUAAUGUUCCUGGCAUUUUAAUGGAACAUUACCAAAUGUACAUUCAUGUGUAUUGAUCAAAGACCAACUUUCAUUAGUGAAAAAAUCUAAUUUUUUCUAGACCAAUUAAAAGGAUAAAAUUCUCUUAUUUGAAUAAUAAGAGAAUUAAAGAGUUUAUUAAGCAAAAACAGUUGCUGAAAAAGCGUAGCAAAGACUGACUAGACUGGCUAGAAUUUCCUCUUCUUCCAGGACAGAUGGUUCUACGACAUUUUAAGCCUUCUUUGUAAUGGCCGAGUGACUGGGUUCUAGCUAGUGGAAUGUGAGUGGAAGCCUUUUACCUCAGAAAAGACACACAAUUCUGCAUGCCCUUUCCCCUUCUGUGGCAUGGUGCAAACAUGCAUGGUGACUUUGGAAGCCACAUUUUGACGAUGGUGGAGCCGCAAGAUGAAAAGAGCCUAGGUUCCUGAAUCACCAGGUGGAGGAAUAUUGCCAAUCCAUCAGUAAUGUAUUUUGUACUUUAUCAGAGCAAUAAAUAAAAUUCUCUACUUUUAGAGCCAUUAUACAUUUUUUUUUUUUAUUUUCAUUGCAGUUGUCGCCUGAACCUAUAUAGAAAUUGGUACCUUGAAAAGUGGAGGUUUCUGAACAAAAAAACCUUUAAGUUUUGCAGACUGUUCAAGAAGAAUGGUGCCAGCAUCUGCAUCAGGUGAUGGCUUCAAGUUAAAGAAAGAAGGUUCAUGGAAGAAGGUGAAGGGGAGCCAAGCUGGCUGUGUACAGAUAGCACAUAACCAGAAAGGAAGCAAGAGAUAUCCAGUUGUCCCAGCACAAUUUUUUGAUAAGACUAUUGUUUUCUUUCAUUGAAUUUGUUUGGCAAACUUACCAAAAAUCAAUUGACCGUAAGUAUAAGGAUGGAUUUCUGGACUCUCAAUUGUAUUUCACUGGUGUAUGUCUGUCCUUAUAUCAGUACCACACAGUCUUGAUUAUUUGCUUUUGUGGAUUCUUUAGGGGGUUACAUAUACACAAUCAUGUCAUUUGUGAAGAGAGACUGUUUUACUUUUUCCAUAUGGACUCGUUUUUAUUUAAUUUUCUUACCUAAUUCCUUUUCUAGAACCCACAGUACAAUGUUGACUAGAAGCUGAAAAAUUGGACACUGUUUUUCUGGAUUGUAAGCGAGAAACAUUGUGUCUCACCAUUAAGUAUGAUGUUAGCUAUGGUUUUCAUAAAUACCUUUUAUCAGGUUGAGGAACAUUCCUUCUCUAUUAAUUUCCCAGGGAUGCUAUAACAAAAUGCUAUAAAUUUGAUGGCAUAAACAGUACAUUAUUGUCUCAUUUCUGGGGGCCAGAAGUCUGAAAUCAAGGAAUUAGCAGGGCCACACUCCAUCUGGAGGGUCUAGGGAAGAAUUCUUCCUUGCCUCUUCCAUCCUGUGGUUGCUAUCAGAAUUCCUUGGCUUCCUUGGCUUGUGAUAACAUAAUCUAAUCUCUGCCUCCAUCUUCACAUAGCCUUAUUCUCUCUGUCUGUGUCUGCCCCUUUUCUAAGGAAACUUGUCACUGGAUUUAAGGAAUACCUGAAUAUUCCAGAUUUAUCUCAUUUCAGGAUUCUUCACUGAAUUACAUCUGCAAAGAUCUGUCUUCCAAAUAAGGUGCCAUCCACAGUUUUGAGGAUUAGGGCACAGAUUUCUUUUGGGGGUAUUCGGGGUACUGUUCAACCACUACAGUCUGCCCCCUAGCUCCCCACAAUUCACAUUUAUCUCACAUAUCUUCUUUCAUCUUCUUUCAUUCCUGAUCCUGAUUAUUUGAGUCUUCUCUCUCUUUUUGUUGGUUAGACUAAUUAAAAGUUUAUCAACUUUUAUAUCUUUUCAAAGAAGCAAUUUUUGAUUUUUUCUUUUCUAUUUAUUUAUUUAUUUAGAGACGG
rnacentral:lncRNA from 1 species